GAUGAACGCUAGCGAUAGGCUUAACACAUGCAAGUCGAGGGGCAGCAUGGUCUUAGCUUGCUAAGACUGAUGGCGACCGGCGCACGGGUGCGUAACGCGUAUGCAACUUGCCUCACAGAGGGGGAUAACCCGUCGAAAGACGGACUAAUACCGCGUACACCCUAUUUUGGGCAUCCAAGGUAGAGGAAAUGAAAUUCGCUGUGAGAUAGGCAUGCGUCCCAUUAGCUAGUUGGUGAGGUAACGGCUCACCAAGGCGCCGAUGGGUAGGGGAACUGAGGGGUUGUACCCCCACGCUGGUACUGAGCCACGGACCAUACUCCUACGGGCGGCAGCAGUGAUGAAUAUUGGUCAAUGGGCGAGUGCCUGAUCCAGCCAAGUCGCGUGAAGGAUGACUGUCUUAUGGAUUGUAAACUUCUUUUGUAGGGGAAUAAAGAGGGGCACGUGGGCCCCAGUUAAUGUACCCUACGAAUAAUCAUCGGCUAACCCCUUG
rnacentral:rRNA from 1 species